rnacentral:rRNA from 1 species
CACGUAGUUAGCCGGGGCUUCUUAGUCAGGUACCGUCAUCUUCUUCCCUGCUGAUAGAGCUUUACAUACCGAAAUACUUCUUCACUCACGCGGCGUCGCUGCAUCAGGGUUCCCCCCAUUGUGCAAUAUUCCCCACUGCUGCCUCCCGUAGGAGUUUGGGCCGUGUCUCAGUCCCAAUGUGGCCGGUCGCCCUCUCAGGCCGGCUACUGAUCGUCGCCUUGGUGGGCCGCUGCCCCGCCAACUAGCUAAUCAGGCGCGGAUCCAUCUUAUACCACCGGAGUUUUUCACACUGCGCCAUGCGGCGCCGUGCGCUUAUGCGGUAUUAGCAGCCAUUUCUGGCUGUUAUCCCCCAGUAUAAGGCAGGUUAUCCACGUGUUACUCACCCGUCCGCCGCUAAGUCAAUCCUGAUUCCAUCCGAAAACUUCAUCAAGAUUGCUCCGCUCGACUUGCAUGUGUUAGGCACGCCGCCAGCGUUCAU